UGACCUCGGAUCAGGUAGGGAUACCCGCUGAACUUAAGCAUAUCAAUAAGCGGAGGAAAAGAAACCAACAGGGAUUGCCUCAGUAACGGCGAGUGAAGCGGCAACAGCUCAAAUUUGAAAUCUGGCUCUUUCAGGGUCCGAGUUGUAAUUUGUAGAGGAUGCUUCGGGUGCGGCGCCUGUCUAAGUUCCUUGGAACAGGACGUCAUAGAGGGUGAGAAUCCCGUACGUGACCGGCGACCAAGCCCAUGUGAAGCUCCUUCGACGAGUCGAGUUGUUUGGGAAUGCAGCUCUAAUUGGGUGGUAAAUUUCAUCUAAAGCUAAAUACCGGCCAGAGACCGAUAGCGCACAAGUAGAGUGAUCGAAAGAUGAAAAGCACUUUGGAAAGAGAGUUAAAAAGUACGUGAAAUUGUUGAAAGGGAAGCGCUUGCAACCAGACUUGCUCGCGGGUGAUCAGCUGCGGUUCUCCGCGGUGCACUCGCCCGUGAUCAGGCCAGCAUCGGUUUGGGCGGUUGGAUAAAGGCCCCGGGGAAUGUAGCUCCCUCCGGGGAGUGUUAUAGCCCGGGGUGCAAUGCGGCCAGCCCGGACCGAGGACCGCGCUUCGG
rnacentral:rRNA from 1 species